rnacentral:piRNA from 1 species
UGGCCAUGACCUACUUUUCGUUCAGCCGGU